rnacentral:rRNA from 1 species
UCAAGUUUGAUAUGGCUCAGGAUAAACGCUGGCGGCGCACAUAAGACAUGCAAGUCGAACGAACUUAACCAUUAGUUUACUAUUGGAGCGGUUAGUGGCGGACUGGUGAGUAACACGUAAGCAACCUGCCUAUCAGAGGGGAACAACAGUUAGAAAUGACUGCUAAUACCGCAUAUGCCUUAGAAUCACAUGGUUCAAAAGGGAAAGGAGCAAUCCACUGAUAGAUGGGCUUGCGUCUGAUUAG